UUUGUUGUAUUUGGCAUACAAAAUAAUAAUAUAUCCCAAUUUAUAAGAAAAGGAAGGACAACGAUAAAAACGAUUUCAUAGUUUAUUAACUUCUGUAUUGCGUUUGACAUUCGCACCAAGGGCACAUCGGGGUCAUCUAGAGAGAAUGUAGCCAAAAGCGAACAGCAAAAUACAAAAUAAUAAUAUACCGUGAUUUAUAAAGAAGGGCAAAACGUAGUUGCGAACCUGAAUAGGCUUCUUCAUCGCGUGCAGCAUAAGCACUUAAAUCAGCAGCAAUGCAAAUUCAUUACGAUGCCGUUCUCUGCUAAGUGCUAACAGGAUCUGAUUUAUUAAAUGAUAAACAGAAACACGCCAAGUUGACGGGCACCAGACCAUACAAAAAUAAAUACAGGAGAUCAGAUAAUACAAAUCAACAGCAGGUUUUCAGAUUGACCCACUGCGUAGCAGUCAUCACGGGAUUCGGGGAAUGAAUGACAACACAAGACAACCAGUUUACACAGCGAUAAAUAUCGUCCAACUAGCAUAGAAACAUGGGUCUAAACUUGACAGAGUUGAAGAUCCAUACAUCUGCUACAUGCAUAAAAGGUGUCGAAUGACAAUUGGAACCCUCAUCCAAGUUUGGUGAUAAUCCUAGAUAAAAGGUGCAACACACGGGAG